UGCACUAUGCAGCAAAGAUAAUGAGUAUGUUGCACAUCUCUUCUUUAUGUCCCCUUAUUUAGCACAAGUCUGGAAUACCAUCUAAUAUAGCUGCAGAUUCAUAGACAAGCUCAAGGAUGGAUCUGGGAUGAAUUAGGCAAUUAUAAACUUCAAAGAUCGAAGUUUACAUGCUGAAGUUUUUAGAAUGACAUUAGUUGCGGGAGUUAAUAUUGAGAAAAAGGAAUUAGAGGAUCUUCCAAACAGAGAACAGAACAGAAGGCUUCAAGUCCUCAUUAUGUUGUUAAUUCAAGAUCCUCAUACUAGAGGAGUUAGUGAAAGCAACAUUAUUUAGAAUGUUAUUGGUUAUUUGGUCAUAUUUCAUUGUUAAAUUUGAAAAAAAAAUAAAAAAAUUUGAUUUCAAAGUGAAAAAUGAUAUAUGAAAAUUGGAAUUGUGUUUGAUCAUGAAUAUAAAUUGGAGUUUAUUCAUAAAUUAAAGUUAUUUUUGACUUUUUGUGAGUAAUUGGAGCG
rnacentral:lncRNA from 1 species